CUCUUCCUAUCAUACCGAAGCAGAAUUCGGUAAGCGUUGGAUUGUUCACCCACUAGAGUUCAGUUGGUGGGGAUAGUCAGGUCUUGGAUGGGUUCUGAGAUUAUGCUGGCUAGUCGACAUAGCACAGAACUGCAGGCGCUAUGCGGCGACACAACCUGGAUCGGGGGAGGCUAAGGCCCGGCGGCUAUGCUAAUCCGAGGGGAG
rnacentral:rRNA from 1 species